UUUGUACUCCCUCCGACCGGUAUUACUUGUCUCAAAUUUGCCCAAAUAUGGAUGUAUUUAUGUGUAAAAAGUGUUUAGAUACAUGUAAUAUUUCGACAAGUAAUUCCGGCCGGAGGGAGUACAAU
rfam:Brachypodium distachyon strain Bd21 chromosome 4, whole genome shotgun sequence.